rnacentral:rRNA from 1 species
UACAGAGGGGGCAAGCGUUGUUCGGAAUUACUGGGCGUAAAGGGCGCGUAGGCGGCCUUCUAAGUCGAACGUGAAAUCCCCGGGCUCAACCCGGGAACUGCGUCCGAUACUGGUGGGCUCGAAUCCGGGAGAGGGAUGCGGAAUUCCUGGUGUAGCGGUGAAAUGCGUAGAUAUCAGGAGGAACACCCGAGGCGAAGGCGGCUCUCUGGACCAAUUCUGACGCUGAGGCGCGAAAGCUAGGGGAGCAAACAGG